CCGCGAAUCGGCGCCUUCCGAUCCCGGGCGACUCGAGUAAUUAGAAGUGGUUCGGUGUGUUGAAACGAUGAUUCGUUUACCUACUCAUAUCGAUAAUUACACGAUACUUCACACACAUGUACACACGCUGCAAUCAUGCCAAUGAAACGUGCAGACUUAUUUGGAAGCCAAUUAUAUCGAUAAUAGGCGUCCGGUUAAGUGGAUCGAUCAAACGACGCAUCGCAUCAUCUUUACCGAUCUGCGGUGGAUAGUAAUUCUUUCGGCUCGAUAAAACCUCAAUUAUAUCAACGCCACGAUUACUACGUAUUUUUCUCAGCGUACGUAUUGCACGCAGAUACGCGUGAAAUGGUUGACACGAGGCAACGGUGACAGCCUAAGGGAGACAACGGAGAUAACAGUUGGCGCGGUGCGAGUGGAUUCGACGGAGUGUAUCGAACCGGAACGCGUCUCCGUAGCCUUUUACUUUCACGAAUAAAACCGACAACGAUUUUCUACGAAGGUCACGA